CUUUCACUCUUUUCUGCUCCAGUCCCCUCCCCAUCACUUCUUAAAGUGCUGAGAUUUUGGUGCAGCCGCCAUAUUUCUUCUUUUCCUGAGAUAGAAGCUGGGUGACAACAGAUAUCUCCACCCCUGUGGUCCUUUCUGGAACACCUUCCAACUACUGACACUUCAUGGCGCAUUUCUAAAAAAAAAAAAAAAAAAAAAAAAGAAGAACCAAAGUCGACCAAAAUACGAACUCUAAACGUCCUCCUAGCAGGUUCUUGACAGCUCCCUAUUUUUCAGGUAUUUGGGAUAGGUUUAGGCCACUUGCCAUUUGAAAGGAAUUUUUUUGGGCAAUGAUUUUUGGUUGAGGCCUGUUUUUUUGUGGUUCAGGUUUUUUUUUCCCUUCACUUUUCUAUAUUUUGCCCAUCAGGGCUGUGAAUGCCUGGUUUUAUUUAUUUUCUUAAUUUGCCCAUCGGGGCCACGGAUACCUGCUUUUAAUUUUUUUUCCCCUUAAGCCCAUCGGGGCCCCGGAUACCUGCUGUGUUCCCCCCCCACCCCCCAAAACUCUGGCCCAUCGGGGCAAUGGAUGUCAGCUAUUUUUUUUUUAAAUAAUUUUUUGGCCCAUCGGGGCCUAGGAUACCUGCUCUAUUUUUUUUUCCUUGCCCAUCGGGGCCGCGGAUACCUGCUUAGAUUUUUUUCUCUUGCCCAUCGGGGCCACGGAUACCUGCUUAGAUUUUUUUUUUUCAUUCGCCCAUGGGGUCUUUUAAUGCAUCGAAAAGUGGUUCUCUGUGGUUCCUUAUACUACCUGGAAUAUCUACAAAUUUUUGCUGCUAAUCAUUUGGUGUUGUUGUCUAAAACGGCGGAUCCAGUUUUAUCGGGAGUGUUCAAGUGGAGAGAAGGCCACAUUCAUGUUGGUAAUAAUUGUUCUCGUGCACAGUUUGGUGGUAGAAAUAUUCUGUUACAUGGUAUAAGAUGGCGGCUCAAGUAUGCUGCUAUGUAAAAUAUGGCGGUUUUUGUCGUUGCCCCACGCAUUUCCUGACAGGUUUUGCUACAGGCAGAAUAUGCAGGCCUUGUCAGGUGGAUAUGUCAGUUUGUCACAUGGACGUACUGGCUGGUGGGUUUUUGCCCAGCACUUUCUUGGCGGGUUCCGCCCCAGGUAUUUGCCACUUUGUUCAAGAUGGCGGGCGUUUGCUCGUUUGCCGAAAAAAAAGUGGGACGGUCAGUGUUGGAUUGCCGUGUGACCCACCCAAUCAGACAGGGUGGUAGAAUUGGAUACAGCCGAUCAGUGGACGGUGGAAUUGUACCGAGUUAGCAUGGUGCCUCACUGCCCUCUUGAUUCAGCCAAUCAGAAAAACGAAGCAGAAGGAACCACAUUCAUGUCACCUCCCAGUGGGUGGUACCCCAGGUCUUUAAUCGGUCAUUUGGCCAUACCGUCUCCAUCCCCUUUUACCGGCUCCCUCCCCUCCAGCGUUGCCUCGUGCAGUGCUGGGUAUUUGGUAGUGUGAGCUGAACCACACACCGUUCCUCUGCAUUGGUGCCCUAACCUAUGGCAGUCAUUUCCCAGUUGGCCACUGCUCUUCCACGUUGGCCAGACGCGUGCUCCAUGCGUGCCAAGUGUGAAAAUGGCGGUGAAACUUGGCAAGGACCAAAAUGGAUCCCACAUGAUCGUUGGCCAACAGGUGGCAGAAGAGGAACCCCUGGCUUUACUCAAGAGGAACACCUACCCCGUGGCUAAUGCUGGGGUUUGACUGAUUUCUAUUUAUUUUUGGAUGUCAGUCAUAAGUAAUAGUUUGAUUAUGUGGUUUGCUAGUGUUAGACUUGAGCAUUAAAUGACUAGUACGAAAAUGUA